GAUGAACGCUGACAGAAUGCUUAACACAUGCAAGUCUACUUGAAUUUGGGUCUUAGACUUAGAUUUGGGUGGCGGACGGGUGAGUAACGCGUAAAGAACUUGCCUCACAGUUAGGGACAACAUUUGGAAACGAAUGCUAAUACCUGAUAUUAUGAUUAUACGGCAUCGUAUAAUUAUGAAAGCUAUAUGCGCUGUGAGAGAGCUUUGCGUCCCAUUAGCUAGUUGGAGAGGUAACGGCUCACCAAGGCGAUGAUGGGUAGCCGGCCUGAGAGGGUGAACGGCCACAAGGGGACUGAGACACGGCCCUUACUCCUACGGGAGGCAGCAGUGGGGAAUAUUGGACAAUGGACCAAAAGUCUGAUCCAGCAAUUCUGUGUGCACGAUGACGUUUUUCGGAAUGUAAAGUGCUUUCAGUUGGGAAGAAAAAAAUGACGGUACCAACAGAAGAAGUGACGGCUAAAUACGUGCCAGCAGCCGCGGUAAUACGUAUGUCACAAGCGUUAUCCGGAUUUAUUGGGCAUAAAACGCGUCUAGGUGGUUAUUUAAGUUUGAUGUGUAAAUGCAGGGCGCCACUCUGUAUUGCGU
rnacentral:rRNA from 1 species